CACCAUUGCACAAGUCUGUUGAUCAGCAGGGGGUCCUGUCCCAGCAUCUCUGCAGUGUCAGCUGAAAAGAGAAGAAUGGCAUGUCCAGACAUGCUCCCCGGCAAGAUCCUGGGUAUUUUGAGAUCAGAGGCCUGAGAAAAUUCACAAGGCUCUUUGGACGGCCAUCAAAGCGUUCAACCCUCUAGUAACAGCAAGUGACUAAGUGAAAUGAGGCCUAAUAGUCCACCCAAUGGCCUUUGGAGAACUUUUCAAGACUACGCCUGGUUAAUUUCUAGUUUCAGGGAAAAUUCCAGGUAUCAGUGGGAAGAAGUCUGUUUUGGUGACCACUGGAAAAAUGGAACACCAGAAAAACCUGCUUUCCUCACAGGGUCUAUUUGGUGCUGCAGGCUGAGGAGCAUUGUGACACCAGAGGUAGUUCAGCCAAUCAGCACUUCCUCCCUCCAAUUCAUUUGCAUAGUUCAUUUCCAUUGAAUGAAGUGAGUUAGCAAAUGAAACUGCAGGUCAGGACUGAGGUGCUUUGACAUUUGUGUGGGGGCUGGGGUUCAGGACUGGAAUAGUGGAAGAUGCUUUAGUACAGAAGCUAUAUUAACUGAGUCUGAGUAAGGCUGGAGACUUGCCCACACAAUGGACCUUGAAAUGAUUAGCACCUAUAAUGUAAAGAUACAUGCAUCACC